UACGUAGGGUGCGAGCGUUGUCCGGAAUUAUUGGGCGUAAAGGGCUCGUAGGCGGUUUGUCGCGUCGGGAGUGAAAACACUGGGCUUAACCGAGUGCUUGCUUCCGAUACGGGCAGACUUGAGGCAUUGAGGGGAGAACGGAAUUCCUGGUGUAGCGGUGAAAUGCGCAGAUAUCAGGAGGAACACCGGUGGCGAAGGCGGUUCUCUGGCAAUGUUCUGACGCUGAGGAGCGAAAGUGUGGGGAGCGAACAGGAUUAGAUACCCCCGUAGUCC
rnacentral:rRNA from 1 species